rnacentral:sRNA from 1 species
UCUCGUUUUUAAUAUUUUUUCAAGUGGCCCCCAUUAAACGUGGAGCACUGGCCUAAUUGACGCUUCGCUCCACUGUCAUAUUUACCUGAUGUAACGACGCUAAUAGCAUUAAGGGAUUAUUUAUAGCUGCCCCAACGAGUCUUCUACAUCAAGUAAUCGCAUCUAAUUGUGGUCAAGUCUGCAUGCAGUUCGCUCUCUACUGAAGUGCUGCAUUAUUUACAUAGAGCUCUCGCCUUAACGAGUUGAUGUUUGCUUUCAAUUUGUGUGGCUUACGUCGCCCCUUCAGCUAUGCCUGGCCAAUUAUACAAAAUUUUUAAGACAACAAUCAUUUUUAAUGGCCAUCGGAACUAAGGAAGGCCGUGCUGGGGCAUGGGGAGAGCAUAGAAAAUAGCAUGGGUUGCAUGCCUGAUUGCCUUGCGGCAGGAUACUUGACUGGCCUGGACGCUUAAGCAGAUUGAAACAAUCUCCGGUGUGUGCGGUGCAAAAUGGCGGCUCUGGCGCUUCCGCUGCAUUGAUUUUUGGCUGUCAUGCAUGCAGCUUGGCUGACAAUUGGCAUAAAUUAUGAACAGCAGGAGCAGCAGCAGCAGCAGCAGCAGGAGCAGGAGGAGACUUUGCCGCUGAAAUUGAAAAUUAAGGGGCAGGCUAAGUGGAGCGGGCAGCGGACGUCGCUUGAGUCAAGUAAAUAACAAUCAAAAUCACUUUCGACCCCCAGACGAUUUAUUUGGAGGGACUGAAACAGCAUUAGAGCAGCGCAGAGCAGGCGGAGUCGCCGGAGUCGCUGGAGACAUCUGAAGGCAUCUGGAAUCACAACUAUGAGGCCUUAAUCGCUAGGGCCAGCCUCAUCGCCGUCGUCAGAUCGUCAGAGCGAACAGCCAUGCCUGCCCUCAGUCCGCAGUCCGCAGUCCUUAGCCGCUCGUCUGUCAGCUGCGACGGCCUAAGGCUAUUUUAUUGUUCGAUAAGUUAUCAGCGGUCGAGCAAACAAGCAGCCGAGCAAAAGCAAACGUUGCGGCUAAAACUUGACUGGGUCGGCAUGCCGGACUCGUACUCUGAUUCCGACUCCGACUCUAGCUCUGACUCCGACUCUGACUCUUGGGCAGGCAGUGGGAUUCGAGCUGGGACUGGGACUGGCUCUCACGAUAUCAUAAUUUCACUCGCUCUGAAAGUAACUAUGUUUAUGUUUUGUACGAGCUGCCUA